AUUCCUUCUCUGCCUAUUGUCUAAAAUCAAAUGUAGUAUCUGUUCUCACCAUUUAAAGCAUGUGCUAUGUUGUGUAUCUGUGGACUGGGCAUUAAAUUAGAGUUAGAAGCUAGCUUGAAGCUUGCUUUAUCCACCCCAUGUCUCAGCCUGGAAUUACAUUACUUCCAGGAAUGGUGCAUUCCUU